UGGCGGACGGGUGAGUAACGCGUGGGUAACCUGCCUCAUACAGGGGGAUAACAGUUAGAAAUGACUGCUAAAACCGCAUAAGCGCACAAAACCGCAUGGUUUGGUGUGAAAAACUCCGGUGGUAUGAGAUGGACCCGCGUCUGAUUAGCUAGUUGGAGAGGUAACGGCUCACCAAGGCGACGAUCAGUAGCCGACCUGAGAGGGUGACCGGCCACAUUGGGACUGAGACACGGCCCAAACUCCUACGGAAGGCAGCAG
rnacentral:rRNA from 1 species